CGGACGGGUGAGUAACGCGUGAGGGAAGAAGGCUCUUGGGUCGUAAACCUCUUUUGUCAGGGAAGAACACAAUGACGGUACCUGACGAAUCAGCCUCGGCUAACUCCGUGCCAGCAGCCGCGGUAAUACGGAGGAUGCAAGCGUUAUCCGGAAUCAUUGGGCGUAAAGCGUCCGCAGGUGGCUAAUCAAGUCUGCCGUCAAAGACCGUAGCUCAACUACGGAAAGGCGGUGGAAACUGAUAAGCUAGAGUGCAGUAGGGGUAGAGGGAAUUCCCAGUGUAGCGGUGAAAUGCGUAGAGCUCGGGAAGAACAUCGGUGGCGAAAGCGCUCUGCUGGACUGCAACUGACACUCAUGGACAAAAGCUAGGGGAGCGAAUGGGAUUAGAUACCCCAGUAGUC
rnacentral:rRNA from 1 species